rnacentral:rRNA from 1 species
UACGUAGAGGGCGAGCGUUGUCCGGAUUUAUUGGGCGUAAAGAGCUCGUAGGCGGUUCCGCAAGUCGGAUAUGAAAUCUCCACGCUCAACGUGGAGGGGUUAUUCGAUACUGCAGGGCUAGAAUCCGGAAGAGGCGAGUGGAAUUCCUGGUGUAGCGGUGAAAUGCGCAGAUAUCAGGAGGAACACCAAUGGCGAAGGCAGCUCGCUGGGACGGUAUUGACGCUGAGACGCGAAAGCGUGGGGAGCAAACAGG